rnacentral:rRNA from 2 species
CUCCUGGAAACGGGUGGUAAUGCCGGAUGUUCCACAUGAGCGCAUGCGAGUGUGGGAAAGGCUUUUUGCGGCAUGGGAUGGGGUCGCGUCCUAUCAGCUUGUUGGUGGGGUAACGGCCUACCAAGGCGUUGACGGGUAGCCGGCCUGAGAGGGCGACCGGCCACAUUGGGACUGAGAUACGGCCCAGACUCCUACGGGAGGCAGCAGUGGGGAAUAUUGCACAAUGGGCGCAAGCCUGAUGCAGCGACGCCGCGUGCGGGAUGGAGGCCUUCGGGCUGUAAACCGCUUUUGUUCAAGGGCAAGGCACGGUUUCGGCCGUGUUGAGUGGAUUGUUCGAAUAAGCACCGGCUAACUACGUGCCAGCAGCCGCGGUAAUACGUAGGGUGCAAGCGUUAUCCGGAUUUAUUGGGCGUAAAGGGCUCGUAGGCGGUUCGUCGCGUCCGGUGUGAAAGUCCAUCGCUUAACGGUGGAUCCGCGCCGGGUACGGGCGGGCUUGAGUGCGGUAGGGGAGACUGGAAUUCCCGGUGUAACGGUGGAAUGUGUAGAUAUCGGGAAGAACACC